AGUCGAGCGGUCACUUCGGUGACAGCGGCGAACGGGUGAGUAACGCGUUGGUAACUGCCCCGCACUCAGGGAUAACUCCUAGAAAUAGGAGCUAAUACCGGAUGGUCCCGAAAGGGUAAAGAUUUUUCGGUGCGGGAGGUGCCUGCGUCCUAUCAGCUUGUUGGUGAGGUAACUGCUUACCAAGGCUAUGACGGGUAGCUGGUCUGAGAAGAUGAUCAGCCACAAUGGGACUGAGACACGGCCCAUACUCC
rnacentral:rRNA from 1 species